rnacentral:lncRNA from 1 species
UGGCAUUCUGUGGGCAGGAUGUGACAAGUAAAACCAUGUGGUCAUCUGUAAUGUGAUAGUUGCAAUGAGAGGAGAGUUAGUAGGAUGAGGCUGCAGCAGGGGAGAGCAAGCAGGGCAGGUCAGGGCCCUGCUCAUUGCUCACCAGUGGGGAUCUGACACAUGUGAGCAAGGAGUGGACGAUCUUCAAUGGUGGGAAGCAGCAUGAGACCUGACAGGCCCAAGACAUUUCCAUGGGCCUUUGGAAAGCUUUCAAACUGGAGGUCUCCUGCCUCUCGAUGGAGAAGCCCUGGUGGCAGCAAGCCUUUUCAGCCAGGCCAACACCCAUCCCUUGCCUCAACCAGAGGACCACUGAGGCUGACCUGGCGAGGUGGACCCUUUGGGAAGACUGCUGUUGGUGAGGUCCACAUUAGGGUAGAUUUAGGGGCAUGCUCCUUCUACUUUUUUCGUUAUCUCUUUUGCCUUCUCUCCUGCCUAUGACUUUGUCCAUCAAUGGCAGCCAAGAGAAGCCAGCGGCUCCCUUAGACCCAGUCCACUCAGCUGGUGCCACUGAAGACAUUUCUGAUCUCAGUGAAAACAUCAUGCAAGAAGAGCUGACCACAAACCAACACUUGUGGAAAUAAAGCUGAUUAUGUAGACACUUUGAUUAAAACUGGGAAUACAAAAUGCUUGCCAUGUAUUCUUUACAAAACCAGCAUCCUAAUGUCUUUUCAGAGUAGCCAAUGUGGAAUGAGCUGCUGAACUUUUGUCCUUGAUAAAGCUGUAGUGAGUGCACAGACUGCUGGAAUUUUCAUGUUAGAUGGCAUCAGAGGUGUGUUCAGCUCCACUGCUAUUGCCUCUCCACAGAAUGCCUUUUUGCUGUCUGCCUGGUGGCUGCAUCCCUCCCAUCUCAGCUGCAAAUCACCUCCUGUGAUUCCUUGACUUCUCUGAGACUGAAUGCUCUUUCUUUUGUGCUCCCAGUGACUUUAAUAGUGUUCACAUAUCCAUUAAAGCAUUGUCCACCU